rnacentral:rRNA from 1 species
UAAUACGAAGGUGGCAAGCGUUGUUCGGAUUUACUGGGCGUAAAGGGAGCGUAGGCGGUUGAGUAAGCCCUCUGGGAAAUCUCCCGGCUUAACCGGGAAAGGUCAGAGGGGACUGCCUGACUAGAGGACGGGAGAGGAGCGCGGAAUUCCCGGUGUAGCGGUGAAAUGCGUAGAGAUCGGGAGGAAGGCCGGUGGCGAAGGCGGCGCUCUGGAACGUUCCUGACGCUGAGGCUCGAAAGCGUGGGGAGCAAACAGGAUUAGAUACCCUGGUAGUCCACGCCCUAAACGAUGGACACUAAGUGCCGGCGGGUUACCGUCGGUGCCGCAGCUAACGCAUUAAGUGUCCCGCCUGGGGAGUACGGCCGCAAGGUUG